CCCUUAGAUGUUCUGGGCUGCACACGUGCUACACUGGCAGGUUCAGCGAGCUUCAUGCCCUGAUCUGAAAGGAAUGGGAAAUCUUUUCAAAACCUGCCGUGCUUGGGAUAGAUGUUUGCAAUUAUUCAUCUUCAACGAGGAUCGCCUUGUAAGCGCACGUCAUCAGCGUGCAUUGAAUACGACCCUGUAUUCUGUACACACCGCCCGUCGCUCCUACCGAUUGAAGUUUUCGGUGAGUUGACAGGAGGAUUUUUUUGAAACUGGUUCGCCAGUGGAUUUUAGAUCCAAAUGCCAACGAAUCGAUGGCUUUAGAGGAAGGAGAAGUCGUAACA
rnacentral:rRNA from 1 species